CAGCCGUAAACUACGCUCGCUAGGUGUCAGGGACGGUGCGACCGUUUCUGGUGCCGCAGGGAAGCCGUGAAGCGAGCCACCUGGGAAGUACGGUCGCAAGGCUGAAACUUAAAGGAAUUGGCGGGGGAGCACUACAACGGGUGGAGCCUGCGGUUUAAUUGGACUCAACGCCGGGAAGCUCACCGGAUAAGACAGCGGAAUGAUUGCCGGGCUGAAGACUCUGCAUGACUAGCUGAGAGGAGGUGCAUGGCGUAGUCGUGU
rnacentral:rRNA from 1 species